GAUGAACGCUGGCGGCGUGCCUAAUACAUGCAAGUCGAGCGAACAGACGAGGAGCUUGCUCCUCUGACGUUAGCGGCGGACGGGUGAGUAACACGUGGAUAACCUACCUAUAAGACUGGGAUAACUUCGGGAAACCGGAGCUAAUACCGGAUAAUAUAUUGAACCGCAUGGUUCAAUAGUGAAAGACGGUUUUACUGUCACUUAUAGAUGGAUCCGCGCCGCAUUAGCUAGUUGGUAAGGUAACGGCUUACCAAGGCAACGAUGCGUAGCCGACCUGAGAGGGUGAUCGGCCACACUGGAACUGAGACACGGUCCAGACUCCUACGGGAGGCAGCAGUAGGGAAUCUUCCGCAAUGGGCGAAAGCUUGACGGAGCAACGCCGCGUGAGUGAUGAAGGUCUUCGGAUCGUAAAACUCUGUUAUUAGGGAAGAACAAAUGUGUAAGUAACCAUGCACGUCUUGACGGUACCUAAUCAGAAAGCCACGGCUAACUACGUG
rnacentral:rRNA from 1 species